ACCUCUAUCGUUUAAUGGUAGGACAUCGGAUUUUCACUUCGAUAAUUUAGGUUCAAUUCCUAGUGGAGGUA
rnacentral:tRNA from 1 species